rnacentral:rRNA from 1 species
GCUUGUCUCAAAGAUUAAGCCAUGCAUGUCUUAGUGUAAAUAACUCUUAUGAAACUGCGAAUGGCUCAUUAAAUCAGUUAUCAAAUACGUGAUGGUCGCCUACUACAUGGAUAACCGUAGUAAUUCUAGAGCUAAUACAUGCACAAAGGCCCACUCACGUGGGUUGUGAUUAUUAGAUUCAAACCGGCCUCGUUCUGGUGAUUCAUAGUAACUUUUCGGAUCGCACGACUUCACGUUGGCGACAGUUCAUUCAAAUUUCUGCCCUAUCAGCUUUCGACGGUACUGUAGUGGACUACCGUGGCAUUAACGGGUGACGGAGAAUUAGGGUUCGAUUCCGGAGAGGGAGCCUGAGAAACGGCUACCACAUCCAAGGAAGGCAGCAGG